UACGGGGGGGGCAAGCGUUGUUCGGAAUUACUGGGCGUAAAGGGUUCGUAGGUGGCUUGUUAAGUCAGACGUGAAAUCCCUCGGCUCAACUGGGGAACUGCGUCUGAUACUGGAUGGCUUGAGUUUGGGAGAGGGAUGCGGAAUUCCAGGUGUAGCGGUGAAAUGCGUAGAUAUCUGGAGGAACACCGGUGGCGAAGGCGGCAUCCUGGACCAACACUGACACUGAGGAGCGAAAGCCAGGGGAGCAAACGGG
rnacentral:rRNA from 1 species